rnacentral:rRNA from 1 species
AACGAACGCUGGCGGCAUGCCUAACACAUGCAAGUCGAACGAGACCUUCGGGUCUAGUGGCGCACGGGUGCGUAACGCGUGGGAACCUGCCCUUAGGUUCGGAAUAACUCCCCGAAAGGGGUGCUAAUACCGGAUAAUGUCUUCGGACCAAAGAUUUAUCGCCUUUGGAUGGGCCCGCGUUGGAUUAGCUAGUUGGUAGGGUAAAAGCCUACCAAGGCGACGAUCCAUAGCUGGUCUGAGAGGAUGAUCAGCCACACUGGGACUGAGACAAGGCCCAGACUCUUACGGGAGGGAGCAGUGGGGAAUAUUGGACAAUGGGCGAAAGACUGAUCCAGCAAUGCCGCGUGAGUGAUGAAGGCCUUAGGGUUGUAAAGCUCUUUUACCCGGGAUGAUAAGGACAGUACCGGGAGAAUAAGCUCCGGCUAACUCCGU